rnacentral:rRNA from 1 species
GUGGGGAAUAUUCCGCAAUGGACGAAAGUCUGACGGAGCAACGCCGCGUGAGUGAUGAAGGUUUUUGGACUGUAAAGCUCUGUUGUUUAGGACGAAAGUGCCUGUUGCGAACAGUUACAGGUAUUGACGGUACUAAACGAGGAAGCCACGGCUAACUACGUGCCAGCAGCCGCGGUAAUACGUAGGUGGCAAGCGUUGUCCGGAAUUAUUGGGCGUAAAGAGCAUGUAGGCGGAGAUUUAAGUCUGUUGUGAAAAUGCGGGGCUCAACCCCGUAUUGCGAUGGAAACUGAAUUUCUUGAGUGCAGGAGAGGAAAGGGGAAUUCCCAGUGUAGCGGUGAAAUGCGUAGAUAUUGGGAGGAACACCAGUGGCGAAGGCGCCUUUCUGGACUGUGUCUGACGCUGAGAUGCGAAAGCCAGGGUAGCGAACGGGAUUAGAAACCCGAGUAGUCC